rnacentral:rRNA from 1 species
GAAUUCGCCCUUAGAGUUUGAUCCUGGCUCAGGACGAACGCUGGCGGCACGCUUAACACAUGCAAGUCGAACGAGAGAAGAGAAGCUUGCUUUUCUGAUCUAGUGGCGGACGGGUGAGUAACACGUGAGCAAUCUGCCUUUCAGGGGGGGAUACCGAUUGGAAACGAUCGUUAAUACCGCAUAACAUAAUUGAACCGCAUGAUUUGAUUAUCAAAGAUUUAUCGCUGAAAGAUGAGCUCGCGUCUGAUUAGCUAGUUGGUAAGGUAACGGCUUACCAAGGCGACGAUCAGUGGCCGGACUGAGAGGUUGAUCGGCCACAUUGGGACUGAGACACGGCCCAGACUCCUACGGGAGGCAGCAGUGGGGAAUAUUGCACAAUGGAGGAAACUCUGAUGCAGCGAUGCCGCGUGAGGGAAGAAGGUUUUAGGAUUGUAAACCUCUGUCUUUGGGGACGAAAAAUGACGGUACCCAAGGAGGAAGCUCCGGCUAACUACGUGCCAGCAGCCGCGGUAAUACGUAGGGAGCGAGCGUUGUCCGGAAUUACUGGGUGUAAAGGGAGCGUAGGCGGGAUCGCAAGUCAGAUGUGAAAACUAUGGGCUUAACCCAUAAACUGCAUUUGAAACUGUGGUUCUUGAGUGAAGUAGAGGUAAGCGGAAUUCCUAGUGUAGCGGUGAAAUGCGUAGAUAUUAGGAGGAACAUCAGUGGCGAAGGCGGCUUACUGGGCUUUAACUGAGGCUGAGGCUCGAAAGCGUGGGGAGCAAACAGGAUUAGAUACCCUGGUAGUCCACGCCGUAAACGAUGAUUACUAGGUGUGGGGGGACUGACCCCUUUCCGUGCCGCAGCAAACGCAAUAAGUAAUCCACCUGGGGAGUACGACCGCAAGGUUGAAACUCAAAGGAAUUGACGGGGGCCCGCACAAGCAGUGGAGUAUGUGGAUUAAUUCGAAGCAACGCGAAGAACCUUACCAGGUCUUGACAUCGUAUGCAUAGCUCAGAGAUGAGUGAAAUCUCUUCGGAGACAUAUAGACAGGUGGUGCAUGGUUGUCGUCAGCUCGUGUCGUGAGAUGUUGGGUUAAGUCCCGCAACGAGCGCAACCCUUACUGUUAGUUGCUACGCAAGAGCACUCUAGCAGGACUGCCGUUGACAAAACGGAGGAAGGUGGGGAUGACGUCAAAUCAUCAUGCCCCUUAUGACCUGGGCUACACACGUACUACAAUGGCAAUAUAACAGAGGGAAGCAAUACAGCGAUGUGGAGCAAAUCCCCAAAAAUUGUCCCAGUUCAGAUUGCAGGCUGCAACUCGCCUGCAUGAAGUCGGAAUUGCUAGUAAUCGCAGAUCAGCAUGCUGCGGUGAAUACGUUCCCGGGCCUUGCACACACCGCCCGUCA